rnacentral:lncRNA from 1 species
AUGGGGGUACAUUCUCCAAUUAGCCAUCACUCUACCCCUCCCUUUGGUGUCCUGGACACUGUGGUUGACUGCUCGCUGCCACUAAUCACUGAUUUGCACCAUCGCUUUUCUUUCUUUCUCUCUCUCUCUCUCUCUCUCUCUCUCCCUCCCUCCCUCCCUCCCUCUCUCUCUCUCUCUUUCUUUCUGUCCCUCCCUUCCUUCCUUCCUUUCUUUCUUUCUCUUUCUUUCUUUUCUCCCUCUCUCUCUCUUUCUGCCAUGACCAUGGCAUGCAGAAGUUCCCCAGAUCAGAGAUCGAACCUGUACCACAGCAGCGACCCAAGCUGCUGCAGUGACACCGGAUCUUUAACCUGCCGCACUACAAGGGAACUCCUCAUAAUUUUUCUUCUCGCCAGCCCCUCAUGGUCAUGCCAAGGGUCCUCCUGGUCCCCUGGACCUAACAGGCAACAGUGCGAGGGAGCAUCUACAAGAGGAAGCAAGAGCAUCCCUUGUGGCGGGACCUACCUGCAGGAACACUCUGUGAGCAGAUAAGCCUGCACACUUGAGAACCCUCAAAGCAGCAAAGCUUCCUGCCUGGGGCUAGAGGGGAGAUGGAGUCUAGCAAAGGGCGACAGCCAGGCUUACAUCCGGAAACAGCCCCCAGACCAUGCAUCCAUCCAUCCAUCCACAGGAGGGCAAGAGUGGACAUGCAGGAGCAGCGGGUGGACAGCAAGGUAAAAGUGUGUGAUGGAGUGUGUGACACGCCUACUCCAGGGUCUGGGGGUACAUGAGAGGGAGACCGUGAUGAGCUGGUGUGAACAGGCACACACGCAGGCCAGAGGAGGGUGGCUACGAGUGUGUUGUGAUCAGGGAGUAUUGCUGAAUUGAGUGUGCUGUGAUAGGCAGUGGUUGGGGUGAGUGCGCAGCUAUGCCUGGGUGUGUAUGGCAAGGUGUACUGGGUGGGUGCACAGGUGGCCUUGUGUAUGAGUCUGAUGGAAUGAUCAAGGGCCAUAGUGUGCGUAGACCCGUGGCUUCAAGCGUUGAGUGUGCGACUGUGUGUGACGGAGCCCCAGAGUGUGUGCCACACUAGGCGUGCGACGGCGAGUGUGCUCAGUGGUGCCAGUAGAACCACUCUAGCGCCGAGCUGGCUCCAGGGGGAAAAAAUGAAUCAAUGCGGGCGGACCCCCUCCCCGCGGUGGCGGGAAGCGCCACCUCCCGCACCGCGGUGCCAAACAAAGCGGCAGGCGGCGGAGAGGCCAGGCAUGGGGCGGGGGUCCUACACACGGGUCAGGCUGACCAGCAGGGCCCCUCGGGUCCUUGGCUGGGACCGCGGACCCGCCCCCCCCCCCCCCCCGGGGACCAGGCUCAGGCUCAAGUUCCUACAGGGCUCUGAACCUGUCCUGUGCCUCUGAGUCAGUCACUCGGUGUCUCUGGUUGCUUUCCUCAUCCGGCCAAGGGGGGUGACACUUGUCCUGCCUACUGCAUUAGAGGUUAAAGGGACUCUGGAGGCCGGACCAUAGCUUCAUUUACCAACCUUGGGGACACUUGCAAGCUGGGCCUGCCCAGGCCUUGUUCGCCACCACACCAGGGGUGGCUGGCGCCCCACCAGACUCACAGGUGAUGAUGCAUGACAUCUGUUC